GCUGCUCGAAACUUUGCACACCUCUACGCGGUGAACAGUAGGCAACGCUGAUAAGGCGGCUAAGAAUGCAGGG
rnacentral:ribozyme from 1 species